rnacentral:rRNA from 1 species
AUUGAACGCUGGCGGCAGGCCUAACACAUGCAAGUCGAGCGGAGCGGCGGACGGGUGAGUAAUGCCUAGGAAUCUGCCUGGUCGUGGGGGAUAACGUCCGGUAACGGGCGCUAAUACCGCAUACUAUCAGAUGAGCCUUGGUCGGAUUAGCUAGUUGGUGGGGUAAAGGCCUACCAAGGCGACGAUCCGUAACUGGUCUGAGAGGAUGAUCAGUCACACUGGAACUGAGACACGGUCCAGACUCCUACGGGAGGCAGCAGUGGGGAAUAUUGCACAAUGGGCGCAAGCCUGAUGCAGCCAUGCCGCGUGUGUGAAGAAGGCCUUCGGGUUGUAAAGCACUGUCAGCGGGGAGGCGUUACCCGCAGAAGAAGCACCGGCUAACUCCGUGCCAGCAGCCGCGGUAAUAC